GUUUCAAAUUUGCAUAUUUUCUAGUAUCAAUUUUUAUUCUCUUCACUUUUUGGGCCUUUGUCUCUCAUCAUCACCGUCAUUCGAGCCCGUUUUGUCUCUAUGACCAUUUUAUAAAUCAUAGAUGAUUGAGUCAACAUUUCUCAUGUACAGGGUGUCACAACAAUCAUCGUUUGAAAUGCCACAACUAUCAUUGUUUCAUGGCAUUUUUGCUGAUUUUAUACUUUGAUCCCAUUCAUACCCUGUCAUCAAAAAGAUUACAUUCAAUACAGUUUACUUUGAAACAUUAACAAUUCUUUUUAGUGUGCGUUUGUAUAAUUUUUAAAUGAGACAGACAAUUUUAAUUUGUUAAGUGCUCAACUUAUCUUGAAUAUUCAUCGCUUUGAAUGUGAAAUUUCAUUUGUAUCAUAUGCCUUUUUUUCAACCAAGUGUUUUGUGUAGAAAAAUUUGACCAUUUUCUCAUUUGAAAAGAGAAUAUUUUGAUAUGCAGCAUUAAUCAUCAACAAUACUAUUAUCCGCACAUAUGUGUGUAUCGCCAUAAGUCAAUGAUUCCUCUCCACAUUCUCAUAACAAAACGCGUUAAAUGAGAUGCAAUAAACCCAUCGGUUGAGUUCCAUUUUAUUUUAUGGGCUGAUCCUUGGUUAAAAAAAAAUCAACAACAAUCGUAAAUAUCACGUGAAAUGAACUUGCAGUAUAUUCUUGUUGAACUUUGUACGUAUUAAUUUUUGGAACAUCUGCUAAUAUUGAUAAGUUAAAAUUUUCAAUGUUUAAGACACGAUUUCAAUUCACCACAUGUGAAUUUGUAAAUGCAGAAAUUUUAAAAAUUAAAAUUCCUUUCGCACACACUCUUGCCGAAACUGAACUGUGAACACCCAACAAACAGCUUUUUGAACCAGAAAAAAAUGAUGAAAAAUAGUCGAAAUAUAUUGUGAAACGAUAAAGUGGAUUCCAAUCAAUAAUCAAAUAAAACACAACUCUUAAUUGACUUCGAA